rnacentral:rRNA from 1 species
GAGUUUGAUCUUGGCUCAGAUUGAACGCUGGCGGCGUGCUUAACACAUGCAAGUCGAGCGGUAACAGGCGUAGCAAUACGUGCUGACGAGCGGCGAACGGGUGCGUAAUACAUGGGAAUCUGCCCUUUGGUGGGGAAUAACCCGGCGAAAGCCGGGCUAAUGCCGCAUGAGAUCUUCGGAUGAAAGCGGGGGAUCGUAAGACCUCGCGCCGAUGGAUGAGCCCAUGUCGGAUUAGCUAGUUGGUGAGGUAACGGCUCACCAAGGCGACGAUCCGUAGCUGGUCUGAGAGGACGGCCAGCCACACUGGGACUGAGACACGGCCCAGACUCCUACGGGAGGCAGCAGUGGGGAAUAUUGGACAAUGGGCGAAAGCCUGAUCCAGCGACGCCGCGUGUGUGAAGAAGGCCUGCGGGUCGUAAAGCACUUUCGAUGGGAACGAAAUGUGCCGGGCUAAUACCCCGGCAAGCUGACGUUACUCAAUGAAGAAGCACCGGCUAACUCUGU